CCUACGGGCGGCAGCAGUGAGGAAUAUUGGUCAAUGGACGAGAGUCUGAACCAGCCAAGUAGCGUGAAGGAUGACUGCCCUAUGGGUUGUAAACUUCUUUUAUAUGGGAAUAAAAUGUUCCACGUGUGGGAUUUUGUAUGUACCAUAUGAAUAAGUAUCGGCUAACCCCGUGCCAGCAGCCGCGGUACUACGGAGGAUCCGAGCGUUAUCCGGAUUUAUUGGGUUUAAAGGGAGCGUAGGUGGAUUGUUAAGUCAGUUGUGAAAGUUUGCGGCUCAACCGUAAAAUUGCAGUUGAAACUGGCAGUCGUGAGUACAGUAGAGGUGGGCGGAAUUCGUGGUGUAGCGGUGAAAUGCUUAGAUAUCACGAAGAACUCCGAUUGCGAAGGCAGCUCACUGGACUGCAACUGACACUGAGGCUCGAAAGUGUGGGUAUCAAACAGGAUUAGAUACCCCUGUAGUC
rnacentral:rRNA from 1 species